CCAUCGAUUGUUUUCGAAAAGCAUGGAUGGUUUGAAAAAACUUAAAACCAUCGAUAGUGCCAUCGAUGGUUUUCCAGCUCUAGUUUUAAUCCAUUUCUGACGGUCUGACGAAGCAGUGAAAAGUUUUUUUUGUGGUUGGCCAUCAAAAAGUGGGAAAAUAAGAUUCAAAUUAUCAUUGAGGCACUGGAAAAUUCAGGAAAAUCACCCGGAAGCGCUUUCGUCGGUGGAUUCCCAAAAAAUGGAUAAAAACCCGAACCUAGAAAUGAAAAGAUGGCAUUCUUUCAUAGAAAGUUUCAUCCAAAAAUAAUAUAUAAGCCCGGAACAACAAAUGUAGUAGCUGACGCUUUAUCUCGAAUAAAAAUAAAUAAUAUUAAAAACAGUUGCCAUCAACUAGAUCAAAAAGGGGAAUAAAUGAGUUAG